rnacentral:rRNA from 1 species
CAGUCGCCGCGGUAAUAAAGAGGGUGCGAGCGUUAAUCGGAUUUACUGGGCGUAAAGCGUGCGUAGGCGGCUUUUUAAGUCGGAUGUGAAAUCACUGAGCUUAACUUAGGAAUUGCAUUCGAUACUGGGAAGCUAGAGUAUGGGAGAGGAUGGUAGAAUUCCAGGUGUAGCGGUGAAAUGCGUAGAGAUCUGGAGGAAUACCGAUGGCGAAGGCAGCCAUCUGGCCUAAUACUGACGCUGAGGUACGAAAGCAUGGGGAGCAAACAGGAUUAGAUACCCCCGUAGUCCCUGUCUCUUAUAC